AUCCAGCUGACGAGUCCCGAAUAGGACGAAACGCGCUUUAUCUUGUAU
rnacentral:hammerhead_ribozyme from 1 species